UACAGAGGGGGCAAGCGUUGUUCGGAAUUACUGGGCGUAAAGGGCGCGUAGGCGGCCUGCUAAGUCGAACGUGAAAUCCCCGAGCUCAACUCGGGAACUGCGUCCGAUACUGGCAGGCUUGAAUCCGGGAGAGGGAUGCGGAAUUCCAGGUGUAGCGGUGAAAUGCGUAGAUAUCUGGAGGAACACCGGUGGCGAAGGCGGCAUCCUGUACCGGCAUUGACGCUGAGGCGCGAAAGCCAGGGGAGCAAACGGG
rnacentral:rRNA from 1 species